rnacentral:rRNA from 1 species
UGCGUAACACGUGGAUAAUCUGCCUCGUGGCGGGGGACAACAGUCCGAAAGGACUGCUAAUACCGCAUGUCAGGUCGGAAACUCCGGUUCUGACGAAAAAGAGGGCGUCCGCAAGGAGCUCUCACCACGAGAUGAGUCCGCGUCCCAUCAGCUAGUUGGCGGUGUAAUGGACCACCAAGGCUUAGACGGGUAGCUGGUCUGAGAGGAUGACCAGCCACACUGGGACUGAGACACGGCCCAGACUCCUACGGGAGGCAGCAGUGGGGAAUAUUGGACAAUGGGCGAAAGCCUGAUCCAGCCAUGCCGCGUGAGUGAUGAAGGCCUUCGGGUCGUAAAGCUCUGUGGGGAGGGACGAAAAAGCGUGACCUAAUACGUCUCGCCUUGACGGUACCUCCUUAGCAAGCACCGGCUAACUCCGUGCCAGCAGCCGCGGUAAUACGGAGGGUGCAAACGUUGCUCGGAAUUAUUGGGC